rnacentral:lncRNA from 1 species
GGAGCCUGCUUCAGAAUCUGUGAAUCCCUUCCUCUCUGACCCUCCCCUGCUUGCACUCUCUCUCUCUCUCUCUCUCUCUCUCUCUCUCUCGAAUAAACACUUAAAAAAUAUCCUUCUGAAUGUAACUUUUAUGGAAAUGACAAGUCAACUUUGACAUCUUGAAGGAGGUUAAAGAAAUCAAAUGGAGUUAAAAUAGCUGAUAUCCUGGCAUUUCUUAUUUCCAGAACUCUAGUCAUGUACAUCUGCUCAUCUAGAAUUGGACUUUCAUGAAUUAGGGAGUUGAAAUGUAAAUCUUUGUUAGAACGUAGAUCAUGUGGUGUUACUAUUUGUCAUGAAAGACAAAGUUGAUGAAUACAUGUUGACAAAAAUUAUUGAGAAAGGAUAUUUUUGAAGCUGCUUUUGCUUGUGAACUGGCACUUUUCCCACUUGUAUGACUCUCAGAACAGUUAAGGAAAUUCCGUGCCAAUGUCAUAAGAAGCAAGUAACAUUUGUAAUGGAACACUCCAAGAUUCUAUUGGACUAAAGACUAUACGUGACACAUACAAUCCUUGGACCUGUUUUUCCCCACUUCCAAAAUUCUAGGCAAAAUAAUAGAAAGUGUGGAUAUUAAGUGGGGGGGGACAGGGAAGGAUGUGUGUGAAUGUAUGUUUGGGAAAGAAAUCAAAGAUACCAUCUUGAAUGAAGAAUGACAAUGCCAAAUAAACAGUCUACUCCAGAACAAAUUAUGUUUAUUCAAGUAAGAGUCCAUGUGAUGGGGGAGUAAAGACUCAGAGAGACAGCAAGUACGACUAUGAAGGAGAAAAUGAUUGCUAUUCUUUCCCUACCUGGGCACCUCCUCUAUUUUGUUAUGCUUCCAGGAAAAUUAGACAUUCCAUGAACUCACAUAUGAGCUUUCUCUGCAGAUAAUGGUGAUUGUGUUCAUCAAGUGCAAGACUUGUUUAAAUAUGAAAACAAAGGCCACGAUUUCUGUUACUGUUCUCAUUAUGCCAGAAAUGACUUUGUAUAUGUAUGUCACACAUGCAUUAGAUUUUCUAGUAAAUGGAAAAAUACAAAUGAUG